rnacentral:rRNA from 1 species
GAUGAAUGCUGGCGGCGUGCCUAACACAUGCAAGUCGAGCGGCAGCGAGGGGUGCUUGCACCCUGUCGGCGAGCGGCGAACGGCUGAGUAACGCGUAGGAAUUUGCCCCAAAGUGAGGAAUAACUGCCCGAAAGGGUAGCUAAUGCCGCAUAUGGUCUUCGGAUUAAAGGAUUUAUCCGCUUUGGGAGAAGCCUGCGUUGGAUUAGGUUGUUGGUAGGGUAAUGGCCUACCAAGCCGACGAUCCAUAGCUGGUCUGAGAGGAUGAUCAGCCAGACUGGAACUGAGACACGGUCCAGACUCCUACGGGAGGGAGCAGUGAGGAAUCUUCCACAAUGGGCGAAAGCCUGAUGGAGCAACGCCGCGUGAAGGAUGAAGGCCUUCGGGUUGUAAACUUCUUUUAUGAGUGAAGAAUAUGACGGUAACUCAUGAAUAAGCACCGGCUAACUACGUG